AUUGAACGCUGGCGGCAGGCCUAACACAUGCAAGUCGAACGAGUGGCGGACGGGUGAGUAACGUCUGGGAAACCGCCCGCUGGAGGGGGAUAACUACUGGAAACGGUAGCGAAUACCGCAUACCAUCGGAUGUGCCCAGAUGGGAUUAGCUUGUAGGUGAGGUAACGGCUCACCUAGGCAACGAUCCCUAGCUGGUCUGAGAGGAUGACCAGCCACACUGGAAAUGAGACACGGUCCAGACUCCUACGGGAGGCAGCAGUGGGGAAUAUUGCACAAUGGGCGCAAGCCUGAUGCAGCCAUGCCGCGUGUAUGAAGAAGGCCUUCGGGUUGUAAAGUACGGUUAGCAGGGAGGCGUGACCAACAGAGUAAGCACCGGCUAACUACGUGCCAGCCGCCGCGGUAAUAC
rnacentral:rRNA from 1 species